UCCGGCUUAUCACCGGCGGUUUCCUUAGAGUGCUCAACUGAAUGUAGCAACUAAUGGCAAGGGUUGCGCUCGUUGCGGGACUUGACCCAACACCUCACAACACGAGCUGACGACAGCCAUGCAGCACCUGUCUCCACGUCCCCGAAGGGAACCCCGGCUUUCACCGAGUGGCGUGGGAUGUCAAACCUAGGUAAGGUUUUUCGCGUAGCAUCGAAUUAAACCACAUGCUCCACCGCUUGUGCGGGCCCCCGUCAAUUCCUUUGAGUUUUAAUCUUGCGACCGUAAUUCCCAGGCGGAAUACUUAAUGCGUUAGCUGCGACACCGAAGCAAUUAGGAACUCCGACAUCUAGUAUUCAUCGUUUAGGGCGUGGACUAC
rnacentral:misc_RNA from 1 species